ACUCAAAACAACAACGAAAAAGUAAAAGCAGAAUUCAAACAAGGUUUUACAAUUCCUGUUUUCUCUGGAGGAGCGGCGCUUUCAAGUCUUCUGUUGGCCGGGCCUGCUGGUUUGUGAUUUUAUAAAUGACACCUGUCACUCAAUAAACGCUCACCUGACAGUACAGAUGCUUCUCCUAACCAGCCAUGGUAAAUGAGUUCCCAACCCAGCUGAAUUCAAUGAGCAGGGUUUUCCCACUUGGAGCCAAGUGGCCAUGAAGGAAACACAAGCUGUGUGCACGCUCUGAGCACGGCCUCGGUGUGUGGAGGAUACAGGAAAAGGCCGAUUCCACCAGAAUGUGCUGGUGUUUCUCUGCAGAACAGCCACUCCAUGCUCGUGUUUGCUGUGUAACAGCCACUCCAUGCUCGUGUUUGCUGUGUGUCACAUCCAGUUGUGUUUAGUUACCUGCAAAAGGAAGCAAACAGGGCUUGUGUCUCAGCAGUAGCAAGUGCUCGGGAAAUGUGUUACCCCAGAUCUUUGGAUCCCAUACCCUGUUCCCUCCUUUCCCUAUAGCUCUGUUUCAGGCUCCCACUCCCUAUUUAUUGUACCCCAACAUCCCACCUCCAAUUUCCCAGACUUUGAAGUGUCCUAGGUCAUGGCCUUCUGUAGGAAUGCCUUUGGCAAGACUGGUACGUUUAAUAAGCGUGUUAUCUGAAAUCUGUGGAAAUCUGGGUGGAAAUGUGGUAUGCUUUUAAUGUUAUCAUUAUUUCUCACACUGUCCUACAAAUACAGGUAUUUGUAUAUACAUGUGUACACCAGGGUGAGCAUCAGACACAGAUUAAUUGCUUUUACUGGUAUUUUUAUGCAUGAGUUGAAUUCGGAUAUUGCAAAAGUGUUUGCCAGAUACAGGCUCUGCUAGUUAGACUGAAGAAUUUGGUGUAGGACAUUGCUUUACUUUUGCUGACCUGUUGAAAUAAUCCUUCCACUUACAGCACAACUGAACAGUGUUACCUGUCGGAGUCUGCAUACAUAACUAAUGGCAAUCGUUAAUUACUGUAGGCGAUCUACAGGAGUGAGCAAGAAUUAGUACACAUUGCACUAAAAUAGCACAAAAAAAUGUAGACUUUUUGUAGCUUAUCCGUUGUUAAGCACUGUGAUGACAUUUUGGGUCUGAAAAAUUACUGUUUGAUUCCGCUGUCCUUAAAAUAUGACACUUACUAGACUAGACCUAUUAAUUUAUGGAAAGCUAGGGAAUCAGCAUAUCCAUUUACUGCUUGCUAGAGCUUAUCUUUACCUUCUUGAUUCCUCUCUCCUUUUUCUGCUACUACAACUUGCAAAAUCUAUGAAACCUGUAGGUCAUAUUGAAAUUUCAAUUAUAUUACAGAAUCAGGCAUAACUGCGUGUCAAUUGGAAUAGUUUCCCCAGACUGUUGAGUACAAAGAAAGGCUGAUUAUUUUUAAAAGUUAAUUUAUUUAAUCUUUUGGCAGCAAGGACAGAAUUAUUUAUGACCUGGUUCAUUAACAUCUGCUAUGAUUUGCUAUAACCAACUGCUCCUUGUUCCUCAGUUUUUGGCACGUGUAGAUCUCCCCGUGUCUGAAAGUGAAGAUUAUUCUCUCUGUUGUCUCAGCUCUGGCACUUUGAGUAUGGAGUCAGUUAGGUUCAUUUAGUUGAGAAAUUGCACCUUUUAAGACAGAAGAGCUUUUAUUUGAUCGUAAGCCAAAGAUUCUCCUUGGAAAUUUGGAAUAUUAAAUGUUGGCUCCUUUAAUAAAAUGCAGAGGAUACAAGGUGUGACCUCGUAUCCCUCCUCACAGGUUUAAUAGAUGAAGAAAGAAGCAAGAGGAGGAUGACCCAAAGAUCCUGAAUACCACUUUCUUCUGCACAGCUUCAAAUUACACAGGCAAGGUGCAGUGGUCCUGGUGUUUUGUAUUUACUGCAAGUAACUCCUCCUGGCAAGUCAGUUGCCUCUAGGGAAGGAAGAAACUGACUGGUAUUACUGCUGCAUCUUCUGCAAAACAUCUUCAGUGGCAUUAAGAUUCCUUGUCCUUGUCCUCUGGAUGAUUUCAAGAGUGCUACGGAGAAUGGGGAGCUCCUGGGAUGUGGCUGAGGAGAGUCACAACUUCCCAGGCACCUGGAGCUUUGAAAAGGAAAGAAAGAAAAUAGUUGAACUUCUGUCUGUUGAAUUUCAGAUGUGAAAUUGGAGAAGGAGCCCAGCUUCAAGGAGGGUUGUUCUGGAAAAAGUGGGUGGUGAAAUCCUGCUCUUCCGAGGGAGAAAGGAAAGUUUCCCAAAGUGGCCCUUUGAAAUGUGCUCAUCACCCUGAAGUGUUUGGGAAGUGGGUGGUGGCUGUUGACUGUGGGAGAAGGCAACUCCUCCAGUCCUUCACACACUUUGUGCUCAGCAGGGAAAGAAACUUCAGUGAAAACUACACAAGACCAGCGUUGUGAGCCAGCUGCAGGCAGAGCUACAGCUUAUGUAACCAUGGAUUAAUUAUGGUUUUUUCCUCACCCUUAAUACUAUUUUAUUAUCAAUUAUUAUGUUCUUUCUCUGAGUCUUAGGGCUCGUCACUGCUUUGAAUAUAUUGAACUAGUUCCACCUUUUAACUGGAUUUCUGUCAAGGAUUGCUUUCCUAUCACACAAUCUGUGUGCAUGCUGUUACAGCUGGGCUCUCCAUCUUCCCAAAGAAACAUGUCUGCUGCCCUGCCCAAAAUCUUGUUUGUGUGCAAGAAGGAAUUGCCUCACGUACAAAGUUGCUGUACAGCAGUGAUACCUACUUCCUCCUGAUUAUGAUUCUAAUUAAACAUUUGAGACUAUGGCAUCGUCAUCUGGGUAGAACCAGAGCUAGUGCAGAUCUUGGAUGCAGGGACAAUGUCCAGAGGGAAGAGGGGAGAACUGUAGUCUUUGAAAUUCCCCAUGAGCUGGGCUGUUGACCUGCAGGCAGGGUUGUUGCCUAUGUCCUGCAUGAGGUCUUUCCAGAUGAAGUGGUACAGAGUCCUCAGAUCCUGCAGGUAAGGACCUGUCUGUGUCAGCUGCUUGAUCCUGGAGGGGAUGAACCCCUCCUCACCUCUGCUGAGGUAUCUGACAUAUCUUGCCCCUUCAGUCCAUGAAAGAGGGAAAAUAAAAAGCAAACCUAACCUCUUCCGGUGGCUCAGUUUCGGAUAAUGGUUUUGAUGAAAAAGGUACUGCAGUCAACUUGAGCAUGUCAAAAAUUGAUUCAAUGAUAAGCACCCACUUUUUUUCAAACCAGUCUCUCUUACAGUUUAAUCCAUCUGCAAAGCAAAGUGUGACUGUCAAUUAGUGUUUCUCAGCAUACCCAUCUUGGUUCCUCUGUAACUGUCAUGGUGUGAGCACAGCACCCUGGGAAGGGAAGAGAGCACAUCUCAGAAAUACUGAUACACAAAUUGCAGUAUAAAAUAUGGCUGUUGAUCAAUCUGAAAGAUUUAAGAGCCCUUUUCCAGCAUCCUAGCUGAAGCUUGUAAUUUGUACAGAUAAAUAUUGAUGUUGUUGCCAUAGAAGCCUUCAAUUCUUCACCAACUCCUGAUUUGGGUUUUGCUCAGUGACAGGCUUGGGAUGAGGGAAAAUACAUGAGGAUGUGUUAACAGGAAACCUGGGAACACUGUAACACACACUUGAUUAGUGUUGCCCGUCCAAUUCUGGUUCCAAGUUCCAUUAGAUUAAUUUUUUCUGGAAAUACCUAUGGAUCCAAGGGAGCCGUAUCUGCACCUCAUCCAGCAACUGCAAUGGGACUCUGGAGCUACAAACAUUUUUUUUUUGUAGAUGAAGAAAAACUUGAUGCCUGCAGGAUCCUUGUGUAUUUCUGUAUAAAUAUAUAAAAAUAUUUUGGUGCUAAUUCAAGAUACCUGUGUAUUCUGAAUCUUACUUUGAAAGGGUGUGUGUGGAAGGAGUGGAGGGAAUUUUCCGGUUCUUUUUCCUUUUUUUAUUUCUCUGGCAUUGGCUGCUUGUUGUGGAUGCUGUACUGCUUUUGUGUUCUGUCCCAAUUAACCUGCCACCUUCUCUAAAUGAAGCUUGUACAAAUGUUGUCAUGCAUGACCACCAAAUGUCACUGCACCUCAGCACACUCAACAGAGAGUUGGCUGUUUCAUGUUUCUUUUAUUAUAGCAUUAAAUUGAUUAUUUAUACAUUGAUUAUUAGAGCAAGUUCAUCAGUUUAAUGCUGUAAUAAACCCAGCAUUGAGUGUAGUUUUAAACAUGUCAAAAGUAUAAAAAAUAUGCAUAUGGCUGGACCUUUCUAAAUUGCAGGACUGUGAACCAGACAAAGAGAAAAAACUGAAAGCUAGAUGUGACAUUUAAUGGCCAUAUUAAAAUCCCUAAUAAUAAAUGACAAGGUAAUUAAGGUAGAAAAAAUACCCCUACAAAAGUGGUUUAAGCAAUUACAAUAAUGUCAUGGAAGUAAAAGAACAUAUCCAACUUGUGGAGGGGGAUAUCAGAUUGUCCAAGCAAAUUGAUUAUUCGAUUAUCAAUGUCUCAUUUAAGUGUCUCCAGCUGUAUAAUGUAAUGUAUGAACUGGCACGUCUGACCAUUUUAAGAGCUGCAGAGAAUUAUAAACUCCACUGGGUGAUGCAGAAAUGUAUCUACAGGUGAUGCAGGGACCAUGGAUACAGAAUAGAUUAACGUGAAUGAGGAAAAAAGGGAAGGAGGUUUUAUACAGUUGGUGCUGAAAAUCUGUGCCAGACCCAGAGUACUGGAGAAUCUAAACCCAGACCUAAGGGGUUUAUCUAGAGAUAGGAAGGUUAUAUUUGAUAUAAUUGUAUAUUUAUAAGAUAAAAUUCUUAGGAGUCGUUUAUCCCACUCACCUCCUUGCCACUCCCCCUUUUGUUUCCUUCUGUAUUUUAAUUAUUCUGUUAUUUGACAUUCAUGUUGUUCCUUAGCAUGCAUCAUACACCUUUUCAGGCAGACAGAAGCUGGGCUGUCCAUCUGUAUGAGUGAAAGCAUUUGCACAAAGUUUUUCAGAAGAACACUGCUAAACCAAACUUCUAACUCUCUCCAGGUGAAUGCAGUAACAUUUACUGCACAUCUCAAAAUGCCUACAAUGGGAAACUAAAAUUCUGCUGGAGAUCAUGAAUGUUAAAACCCCAACUUUUAUGAUGAAUUACAGUGCCCAAAGGAAAUACCCAGAGAAUUUACCUGUUCUCUUCCUCCUCCCUCCCUGUACAAUCUGUUUGUCCUUCAGAAGCAGCGAGGGCUCAGCUCUCUGAGCUGAGCUCCUUAGCCUGUUAAAAUGCAAGAGAUACACGGUACAAAGGCUUUUAGUGGAUACCUCAGGAAAGAGAUAAUCUGGGUACUUAAUUUGUUUCUGCAGCAAUUAGUUUUAAAAAAUGCAUAAACCAUUAAGGCUAAAUUUUUCUCAAUAUAACCACUCUUAAAACAUGCUCAAGCAAAAAAUUAUCCUGCCUAGCUGACUGUCUUGACAUCUUUGCAGCUGGAUUCCUCUGUGUUUUAGGCAUAGGUUUCCUUUCCAAGUCUCUCAUUCAGCAUUGAGGGUUCCAUUUGGAGCAGCUGAUGGUGGGGGUGUGGGAACUGUCCUCUCACUCCCUGCCCAUCAACCCUCCUCAGCCCUCCUGCACCCACCAUCAGCUCUGCAGGGGGAUUCCAGCAAGCAUGAAUCCCGCUGUGUUUGAGGUAUUUGGCCUUCUAAGAACUCUUGUAACAGGGUGAGUGAUCCUCCAAGGGCUGCAGUCAAAGCUCCAUGAAGUCAGCAGGUACCUUGCAGUGGUGCCUUCAGUGGGUUUGGAUCAGACCUUUUCUGCUCUCUUGUCCUAACAUCCCUGCCCUAGUCUGGUGCAAAUUGCACAGUGACAACACAGAAAGAACCAUGUUGGUCUGAUUACAAAAUACUGAGAAAAUACUACUAACGAGUUCUUUUGUUCCCUUUGAGAGGAGAAAUUCACCUACUGCAUUUUCUAAGGUGCUUUUCUCAUCAUCUGAAUGUGCUCAAGGGGACCAGAGGUUUCUGGGUUUGUGAACUGUGCAUGAGUGAAACCAUUGCUAACUCUGACAGAGAUUUUGGGCAGUGGUAGACACAGCACUGUCCCCUUCUGCAGAUACCUUAUGUGAGGCAGUAACUUCUAACAUGCCUCAUUCUGUACUGUGACAGGGAGAUCUGUUGCUGUGUGCUAUGUGUUCUUUCUGCCAGAAUGAAAGUAUUAGGUGUGGGACUCGAAGUCUUGCUCACCCAUUUGUAAACAACCCCUAAGGAGGAGUGAUAAGGGUUAUUAAUGUUUCAGCCAAUUUAGUCUGACUUGUUCACAGUCUCCCUAAUCCCUUUCUAACCAUAGUGAAGCACAGCUCUUCCAACCUGAAAGACCAAGCUACUGUGUCCAGUGAAAUUGCAAAGAUAACUGUUCUCCCGAGCUAAGUUUACAUCAUAAAUUUCAAAAUAUAUCACACAUUUACUUUUCAUAUUUUGCGUUAUAGCAUAAUAAGAACACAGCCUAACUACUGGUUCCCCAUGUGUGCAGCAGAGGAACAGACCCACAGUGAUGUGGAAAUGCACAGAAAAGGAGUGAUGUGUUUACCUUAGACACUUCAAUAUAUUGGCACAUUGCCUGUUUCUGCUGUACCAACAGAGUAUUUGUGAGGGUAAUGGCAAAGGGAGUAAACAAAAUAAAGUCUCUGUAUUUUACACAUGGUUAAAUAAUUAUUUGUAUUGAUUCUCAGAGCAUUCAUGUUCAGCAGAAGUGGAGUGUAUUAUUACCAUUGUGGAUUGCAUUCUGUUUUAUGAGAAGGUGGGAAUAAAAAAGCAGGAGCAGCUGAGCAUCUCCGGGGUGCCAGGUGAGACUGGAAUAUGGGAGGGAAGCUGAACAUGCUGACAUGGGCUUCUCAUCCUCGCUGAUGACCAGGCUGAGUGCUGUGUGGAACAGCAAAUGUUUAACACAAGAGAGGAAAGAAUAAACAAUUAUCACAGUAAUUAAGCAGCCCAGAAAAAAUUUACUGGAUCUUACUCCAUCUUUUCCUUCCAGUGGCUGCCGUGUCUCAUCCCAUGUCUAUUGCUGUUGCCUGUUUCAUUCCUCUUAGUUUUAAAAAAGUUUUGAAAUUUUACGAUAGACUCAAUGAAAAACAAAAAAUAACUGUGUCACUUCCCUCCCUCCUGCUGUUGCCCACAUUUCUCUCCUCCUGGUUGCUAUUGAGGAGUCAGGUCCUUUGCCACCCUGAUGGAAAAACUUCUGUGACUGCUUUGAUUUUCCAUCUCCAUCCUUCCCAGUACCUUUGGGUUUUUUUGAGAGACCGUAUUUGUCAGCUCCCAUGAAUGAGAGGUUACCAGAAAGAAUAAUCAGGAGUGAAAAUAUCUAUAUUCUAGGGGAAAACCUGCACUCAUUACCCAUGGCCAGAAACGACCUCUAGCUGGUAUCUGCAGUGGGGAACCCAGUGGGCUCUUUAAAUGAAUCCAGGCUACAUGUAUCUGAGGACAUCUCUUCAGAGUGAGUAAGAAAAGGUUUUCUGGAUUUGUAGGGUAAAUGAAUCCACCAGUGUUUCACUCCAAAUGCAAGUAAACCCAUUUCCCUGUUGUGUAUACAGACACUUCUGCCUGUAUAAGAGAUUGAAACACUGCCUCUUCAAGAGAUUGAAGGUCUCUGACAGCAGCAAUCACUGAUAUAAAAAAUGAAGAAUGGUUUUCAAGACUCAUCCAUCCCUAAGCUUCUCUCAGUGACAUCCCUGCUCUCUCUUUGGAGCAUCUCUUGGAUGAACACAUCUCAAGGAAGCAUCUCUUGAUUAACAUAUUUUUUCUCCUGCUGUUGACAGCUCUGUUUUCUGCCAAAUUUUUACUUUCAGGAAACUUACUUGUAUUUUAUUUUAAGCUCUUAAUCCUGAUGAAAACCAGUGCAAUAAACCGAGGCUCCCUUAUUUGAUGGGCGUUCAAAA